UACGAAGGGGGCUAGCGUUGCUCGGAUUGACUGGGCGUAAAGGGCGCGUAGGCGGUUCGUACAGUCAGACGUGAAAUUCCUGGGCUCAACCUGGGGGCUGCGUUUGAUACGUGCGGACUUGAGUGCGGAAGAGGGUCGUGGAAUUCCCAGUGUAGAGGUGAAAUUCGUAGAUAUUGGGAAGAACACCGGUGGCGAAGGCAGCUCGCUGGGACGUGACUGACGCUGAGACGCGAAAGCGUGGG
rnacentral:rRNA from 1 species